AAUCAUAUGGACUUGUUUUCUUUGCUUGAAUAUUGUAGUCUUCACUUUCAAACAAUAACUUUCAAAACUGAUCUACGAAGUAUGAUCCCCCCAGGUAGAAUUUCUGAUCGGGUCAUUGUGUACAGUGGCUGUACAACAAGAAGUCUAAAAUUCCAGAUGCCCCCUCUAUUACUAAUAUCUCGAUGAUUAGGACUGAUAGGUAUUUAAACAAGAAGGAUCAAGGACUCAACUGAUCAAGGAUUCGGGAUCCACCUAUAAACGGAUCAAGGAUUCAACUAGUCAAGGAUCAAGGACUCAACUAAUCAAGGAUCAAGGACUCAACUAACCAAGGAUCAAGGACUCCACUAAACAAGCAUCAUUUAACAGGAGAAGUCUAGCCUGGAUGUUGCCAACAUUGGCAAAUUCUAGGAAGGAUAUAUUUUAAACAUAAAUGAGCGCAUAUGAAAAAUUGGCUUUAAAAAUGGCAGGCUGGUCAUUCUGCGGAUAAAAUAUCAAGAAAAG